rnacentral:lncRNA from 1 species
GCGGCGUCCGCGGUCCCUCGGCAGCUCGCCCGGGCUGGCGGCGGCCUAGUGCUGCGGAUGACUCAAGUUCGAGUCGGAGGCUGAAGAGCCAUCACCUUGUGGAGGCCGGACGUGCCUUUGGAAGCAUUUUCUGAGGUGCAUGGGUGGCGAGGUGAUCUCUGAAAAUAAGCAGCGAUCCAGUGUGACCUAAAACUCGCCAGGAGGACCUGAAAGCUUUUUAACACCAGGAAGCAGCAGCUCGCUGGGCGGAGGGCAGAACUCGCCUGAUAGGUUUAAUUGCUUCCUCUUCAGCAACGCGUAUCGUUCAAAAAAUUGAGGCUUUGAAAGAGGAAAUGUUUCUUUAGCGCCCAUGGAACCGGCUCGCCCCGUAAGAUUGUUUCGAGGAAUCAGUAAGAUGAUAAAGCAAUAAAUAAAAAUUAAAAGGGGUCACAACAGUGAACAAUGGGCUGGGCGCGGUGGCUCAGGUCUGUAAUCCCAGCACUCUGCGAGGCCGAGGCAGGCUGAUCACUUCAGGUCAGGAAUUAGAGACCAGCCUGGGCAACAUGGAAAAACCCCAUCUCUACCAAAAAUACAGAAGAUUAGCCGGGUGUGGUGGCGCUGUGCCUGUAGUCCCAGCUACUCUGGAGUCUGAGAUGGGAGGAUGCCUUGAGCCUGAGAGGCG